CUAGAAUUAACUACGGUCCCAGAUGUUACUAAAUCGGAGGCUAAAUGCAGACAGACACAACAGAAGCCAGAUACUUUAUGCUCCCUGUGCUAAGCUCUCAGGAUCAUAAAUUCAAAAAAAGGGCCUCGGUCACUUGAACUAAAGAAGAAUCACUCUCAGAUCUCCUUAACAUUUGGGCUUUUAUCCUCUUUCUGGGCUAGAGAGGGCAAGAUAAUGACAAAAACGUGGGCAGACCAAGCAGGGAUGCACACAUACACAAGACCCAAUAUAUUCCCCUGGUAGGAGUUAGCACCUAGUUGUCAUGGCGAUUGUGGUACAGCUUUCAUUAUGGCAUCACCGGGCUCACACAUAGCUAUUGGGGCACUGAGCUCAAGUCAGUGCUCAACUUGGCCUCUGGGAGAACUGGUUGGCGCUGAGGGAUAUUUCAAUCAGUGUGAGACUUGGCAGACAGGCCUGUGAUAGAAGUAAGUGAAUUUUUUCAGAUGGCCAAUGUAACACAGCAGUGUAAGCUAUAUACUAAUUGAGUUGUUGUUUCACAGGGGUCUCAGACUAGUUAGGGAGUUCUUAAAACUAUAGUAUAGUCAGUCAGUGUUCUCUGCUCACUGAUACAUUUGGACAAUAAAAUCCAAAAUCCCAUUGACUUUAAUCAGAUUGUGGCUUUCAGAAAAUGUCCACAUGGUGGGUCUUUGUGGUGGGGCUGUACUACAUCUGGAGAUUCAGCAGGAAUUCUCACUCAUUUUGGCUCUGGUGGGUAGAUUAGGGAUUAAUCAAAACUCCUCUCUCACUUCAGGCAUUGAUUAACUUUAAUUUUGGCAAUCCUCAACCUUUGAGGUGUCUCACUUUAUUCAUCCUGAAAACGGGGAUAAUGUUACAAUCGGAGUACCAUCAGAAGAGGAUGGAUUACAUCAAAUCAAUGCUGGAUUCUUGGAUGAAGGCUCCAUCGAGGGCCAGACACCAUCUCUGCAGUAAAUUUGCUGCAUCCCUCUGGCCCCUCACUGCCUUCUUUAUGCCCAGUGAAGGCUCCUUAUAUGCCACAAAGGCAUAUCAAGCCUCAUUCAGCAGGUAAUUCUGGG